rnacentral:sRNA from 1 species
ACUGGCUGUUUCUGUAUUGGCACUGGUAUAGAUUCUCGGUCAGCUGUAUUGGCCCUCGAAGCCAAUACAGCAAACCUUGAAUCUAUACUAGUGCCAAAACAGAAACAGCCAGU